GUCCACGCCCUAAACGAUGAGUGCUAGAUGUUGGUGGGUAACCAUCGGUGUCGUAGCUAACGCGUUAAGCACUCCGCCUGAGGAGUACGGUCGCAAGAUUAAAACUCAAAUGAAUUGACGGGGACCCGCACAAGCGGUGGAGCAUGUGGUUUAAUUCGAAGCAACGCGCAGAACCUUACCAGACCUUGACAUGGGUACUAUGAGCUUGGGAAUCUGAGCUCUUCACUUCGGGUGGGUACCACACAGGUGCUGCAUUGCUGUCGU
rnacentral:rRNA from 1 species